AGCCUAUACAGGUGUUGCAUGGCUGUCGUCAGCUCGUGUCGUGAGAUGUUCGGUUAAGUCGCUAACGAGCGCAACCCUCGUCGUAUGUUAUAUGUGUCAUACGAGACUGCCGGUAAAAGCCGGAGGAAGGUGAGGAUGAUGUCAAGUCAGCAUGACCUUUAUAUCCAGGGCUACACACACGCUACAAUGGUCUGUACAAUGGGUAGCCAAGCCGCGAGGCGGAGCCAAUCCUGAAAGCAGGCCUCAGUUCAGAUUGCAGUCUGCAACUCGACUGCAUGAAGCCGGAGUUGCUAGUAACCGCAGGUCAGCAAUACUGCGGUGAAUACGUUCCCGGGUCUU
rnacentral:rRNA from 1 species